GACGAACCGAGCGAACGUUGUUCGGAAUCACUGGGCUUAAAGGGCGCGUAGGCGGGUGCUCAAGUCCGGGGUGAAAUCCUCCAGCUCAACUGGAGACUGCCUCGGAUACUGGGUGCCUCGAGUGUGGUAGGGGUGUGCGGAACUAUCGGUGGAGCGGUGAAAUGCGUUGAUAUCGAUAGGAACUCCGGUGGCGAAGGCGGCACACUGGACCACAACUGACGCUGAGGCGCGAAAAGCCAGGGGAGGCAAACGGG
rnacentral:rRNA from 1 species